GACCCCUUUAACAAUAUUGAGAACUUCUAUAAUUCUAUAGAACCUUUAAUGCUAAAACUAGUAACAAGAAAUACCCCUCUCAUCAAUGCAAACAUAACCCAGCAAGAACCUAUCACUGGCAACUAACAGAAUUAAAUAAAUGUAGCAACCUUACUAGAAAACCCUACCUUAAACUUACUGUUAACCUAACACCAGAGCAUUUCAAGAAAGAUUAAAAGAAAAAGAAGGAACUCGGCAAACAAUUAACCUCGCCUGUUUACCAAAAACAUCGCCUCUUGCCCCUAUAAGAGGUCCAGCCUGCCCAGUGACCCUGUUCAACGGCCGCGGUAUCCUAACCGUGCAAAGGUAGCGUAAUCACUUGUUUUCUAAAUGGAGACUAGUAUGAAAGGCAUCACGAAGGUUAAACUGUCUCCUCUUUCUAAUCAGUGAACCUAAUCUCCCCGUGAAGAAGCGGGGAUUUUACUAUAAGACGAGAAGACCCUAUGGAGCUUAAAACAUCAUAACACCUGCUACAACUUACAACAUCCCGAUAUUUACCCCGCAGCACGCUGAUUAUAAGUUUUUGGUUGGGGUGACCGCGGAGAAAAACUCAUCCUCCGUAAUGAAGGGGACCUCCCUAAACAAUAAGUCACAACUUUAUGUAUCAAUAAAUUGACAUCUAUUGACCCAAUAAAUUGAUCAACGAACCAAGUUACCCUAGGGAUAACAGCGCAAUCCACUUCAAGAGCUCCUAUCGACAAGUGGGCUUACGACCUCGAUGUUGGAUCGGGGUAUCCUAGUGGUGCAGCCGCUACUAAAGGUUCGUUUGUUCACGAU
rnacentral:rRNA from 1 species